GACGAACGCUGGCGGCGUGCUUAACACAUGCAAGUCGAGCGAGGCCCACCUUUCGGGGUGGUGUCCUAGCGGCGAACGGGUGAGUAACACGUGGGCAACCUGCCCUCAGCUCUGGGAUAACUCCAAGAAAUUGGGGCUAAUACCGGAUAUGACUGCUGACCGCAUGGUCUGGUGGUGGAAAGAUUUAUCGGCUGGGGAUGGGCCCGCGGCCUAUCAGCUUGUUGGUGGGGUAGNGGCCUACCAAGGCGACGACGGGUAGCCGGCCUGAGAGGGUGACCGGCCACACUGGGACUGAGACACGGCCCAGACUCCUACGGGAGGCAGCAGUGGGGAAUAUUGCGCAAUGGGCGAAAGCCUGACGCAGCGACGCCGCGUGGGAAUGACGGCCUGGU
rnacentral:rRNA from 1 species